rnacentral:misc_RNA from 1 species
CGUCAAGUUUGAUACCUUCACUCCUGCAGCAGAACGAGGUCUUCCAGUCACAAGAGUUAUUAGCCGAAUGACUUUGCAACAAAUCCUAGCUCGUGCUGUUGGAGAAGACGUGAUUCUCAAUGAAAGUAAUGUUGUUAAUUUUGAGGAUCACGGGAAUAAGGUAAUAUAAUCCGCUGAUUGGUCAAAAAUUGUCCUUUUCUAAAAUCACCUUUCCACAGAGAAUGCAUGAUAUACAAAGUUUCUUCAUGCAAUUUUAUUUCUGACUAAAAUUCAUCUGACUGACCAGUUUUGUUGCGUGAUAGUGUUUUUUCAACUUCAGUAGUGACAUUUACUUCUGUGCUUUUGCAAUUUGCAAGUUCAGGUCACUGUGAUGCUUGAGAAUGGACAGCGUUACGAGGGUGAUCUCCUAGUUGGUGCUGAUGGAAUAUGGUCAAAUGUAUAUCUCAAUUUCUUUCAUUUAUCAUUUUGCCUGUUGAAUGAUAUCAAUAAGUGCUUGUGAAUUUUUUCUUGCUGGUGCAUGGUCUAUCAUAUCUCAAAUAUAUGGAUUAUAGCAUGAUCUUGAAGAUCUUUUGAUGCAAACUCCGACGGAGUUUGCCUUGAAACCCACAAUCAAUUUAGUGUAUUCUUAACAUUGCUCCAAAAUAAGUUCAAACACCAAAGACUUACUUGGCCCAACACUAACUUGUGAUGGAAAACCAAGCAACUAAACUUGACUCAAUAUCAACAAGUGAUAAAAAACCAAGAAUAAAUCAAUAGAAAAUCAGGAUUUAUAACCCAAUACCAACAUUGUGGUAGGAAACUAUGAAUAUCAAAUUAAAACUUAACAAGUGGAUUAGUCUUACUAAGAGUGUAAAUGUAUUUCAUACAAGAACCAAGAAGAGAAUCCUCUCUCAAAACCACAAUGAGUAAAUAAUAAUAAUCUCUGAAAUCUAAAUCUCAAAAUCUACCUAAAAGAGGAAGAAAAUACAUGUUUAUAAUGGAGGCUGCCUAAAACCCUAAUAAAAUGUAAAGAAAUUACAAAAUGACUAAAGAAAUUAGUCUUCCAGCAAAUUUCACGCCCUUUGGUACACCUAUUGGAGAAUUCUCACACCUUACCAUGUGAUUUGCUAUCCAAAUAAGUUCCCAAACAUGUCUCAUGGCCUCUUGUGCGCCUAUUAGCUCAUCCCAUGGCUUCUGGUGAGCAUUCCAUGGCCAAUGGUGCGCCUAGCAUCAUCUCAUAGCCAGAUGUGCCCCCAAGGUGAUUCUCACACCUUCCAAUGCGCCUUAUAGAGCUCUCUUGGACUUCUCAUAGCUGGCCAUAUGCCCUAGCUGAAUCUAUUGGCUAAUGGUGCAUCUCAUAGUCUCCUUUGGUGUCUCAAAUUUGUCUCAUGGCUACUGUUGCACCUAGGGAGAAUCCUAUGGCUGGUGGUGCAUCCAAAUGAAAUUCUUUAGUGUGUCUCAUAGCUGGUUGAGGGAUAUUCUAUCCCUUUUUGCAAAUGGAAUUAUUUUUGGGACUUUAUUAGCUCUUGUGAAUGGAAAGGCUAGCAUUGAACUCUACCAACUCCACCCAUGCACACUUGCACUAAAAUGAGCCAUUUAAUCUCCUUUGGCAUGCCAAGUUUGAGGAUCUUUACUUGAAUUACUCCUUGGAGAAUUUCAUUGAAACUUGGUGCUGUCAUGAUCACAUCAUCUUUAUAAUGUUUUGACUUGUGCAUAGGUGAGGAAGAAUUUAUUUGGGCAUAAGGAAGCCACAUACUCUGGCUACACUUGUUAUACUGGCAUUGCAGAUUUCGUGCCUGUUGAUAUUGAGACUGUGGGGUAUCGAGUAUUUUUGGGUCAUAAACAAUACUUUGUUUCUUCAGAUGUGGGUGCUGGAAAGAUGCAGUGGUACGCAUUUCACAAGGAACCACCUGGUGGCAUGGACAGACCUAAUGGUAAAAAGGAAAGGCUGCUACAAAUAUUUGAGGGUUGGUGUGACAAUGUAACAGAUUUGAUACUUGCCACAGAAGAAGAUGCCAUUCUUCGACGUGACAUAUAUGAUAGAGCACCCAUAUUUACAUGGGGAAGGGGUCGUGUGACCUUGCUUGGAGAUUCAGUCCAUGCCAUGCAGCCAAAUAUGGGUCAGGGGGGGUGCAUGGCAAUUGAGGAUAGUUAUCAACUUGCAUUGGAGCUUGAUAAAGCAUGGAAACAAAGCAUUGAAUCAGGAACACCCAUUGAUGUUGUUUCAUCCCUAAAGAGCUAUGAGAUUGCUAGAAGACUUCGAGUUUCCAUCAUCCAUGGAAUGGCAAGAAUGGCAGCAAUUAUGGCUUCAACUUACAAGGCGUAUUUGGGAGUUGGCCUUGGUCCAUUGUCGUUCUUGACAAAGUUUCGGAUACCACAUCCAGGAAGAGUUGGUGGGAGAUUUUUUAUUGACAUAGCAAUGCCUUUAAUGCUCAGUUGGGUCUUAGGUGGUAAUAGCUCAAAACUUGAAGGGAGGUCUCAAUGUUGCAGACUUUCAGACAAAGCUAGCGACCAGUUACGGACAUGGUUUGAAAACGAUGACGCACUGGAGCGUGCUCUUAAUGGAGAGUGGUUUCUUUUACCGUGUGGGAAUGAUGACGUUGUUUCAGAACCUAUCUGUUUAAGUAGGGAUGAGAACGCACCCUGCAUGGUUGGUAAUGUGUCGCUUGAAGAUUUUCCUGGAAGGUCUAUAGUGUUACCCUUGUCACAGGUCUCCAAUAUGCAUGCUCAUAUUAGCUAUAAAGAUGGUGCUUUUUACCUAAUUGAUUUGGGGAGCAAACAUGGCACCUUUAUCACACAUAAUGAAGGGAGACGACAUAGGGUGCCUCCAAACUUUCCUACUCGAUUUCACCCAUCAGAUGUGAUUGAGUUUGGUUCAGAUGAGAAGGCAAAAUUUCGGGUUAAGGUGAUGAGAUCUCCUCCGAAGAUUAAAGAGAUGGGAGAAAGUGAAUUACUUCAAUCAGUAUGAUCUGAAGUUCAACUUUUUCCAGGUCACCAAGGAAGUUGUACAGCAUUUAUUUGGGGCAGUGGAGCAAAGUAAAUCUGCUGCAUUUUGUUGAAGCUAAAAUUUACCGAGUACAGAACAUUACACUCUACUUGCAAAACUAGUCCAAUUGUCUGUGAAACCUGGAAACAUGUAUUGUAACCUCCACAUUCACAAAAUCAUCAAUACAAGCCGCUGUUGGUAUAUGGGUUAAGGUUUUGCUCUAAACUAAGUAAAUGAAGGAAAAGAAUGAAUUCAAACUUUGUCAGCACAGAAAUUGCUUUAGGUCCUGCACAUGGAAGCAUGUAUUACCAUGGAAUUCCUGAAAGUAGAAACAAAUAGAGACUUCAGAAAUGUGCAGGUCAAGAUUUUUGUCCAAAACUGAAACAUAACCCAGAAAAAGCCUUUCUUCAAGUAGCCAAUAAGUGGCAAAUGUAGCAGCAAUUAUUGAGCUUCUGUCAAAUGUUGGUGCCUUGAGAGAGGGAAGGAUUGAGGGGGGGACCAAGGUUCUGGGGCACAGACGGUAGCUUCAUUGACAAAUUUAACAAUUGCCCCUCCCCAAUAAUUCUACGAGCAAAUAGUCCAAGGCACCCUCAUCUUCAUGUCAAGAUGAGGUCACUAUCCUAAUUUUUUUUUUUUUUUAA